GACGAACGCUGGCGGCGUGCUUAACGCAUGCAAGUCGAACGGAAAGGCCCUGCUUUUGUGGGGUGCUCGAGUGGCGAACGGGUGAGUAACACGUGAGUAACCUGCCCUUGACUUUGGGAUAACUUCAGGAAACUGGGGCUAAUACCGGAUAGGAGCUCCUGCUGCAUGGUGGGGGUUGGAAAGUUUCGGCGGUUGGGGAUGGACUCGCGGCUUAUCAGCUUGUUGGUGGGGUAGUGGCUUACCAAGGCUUUGACGGGUAGCCGGCCUGAGAGGGUGACCGGCCACAUUGGGACUGAGAUACGGCCCAGACUCCUACGGGAGGCAGCAGUGGGGAAUAUUGCACAAUGGGCGGAAGCCUGAUGCAGCAACGCCGCGUGCGGGAUGACGGCCUUCGGGUUGUAAACCGCUUUCGCCUGGGACGAAGCGUGAGUGACGGUAAUGGGUAAAGAAGCACCGGCUAACUACG
rnacentral:rRNA from 1 species